UGGUUUAGAGCAGAACAAGUGGAAUUUCAUCUGCGAAACACUUAGGAUCGAUAAACUAAGUUUGUUUACUUUUAUGAUUUGAGGCUGUUUUCAGAAAUACAGAAAAAUGGACCAAUAAACAGAAAGCUACAUUGGUCUAAUAGACAGCUGGCCAGCAUUGAGCAGAUUGCAGGAUGAAUAAAUAGCCGAAUGUACAAAUAGUCGAUCGUGUAGAAUACGAAUCCUACGAUCAAAUAUACAGAUUGUAUCUCGGAUGAAAAAUCAGUAAAACCAUUGGUUUACCACAGAAGAUAUAUGUUUUGAUGGAAUGUACCAUAUUUGAAUGACCAGUAAAACCAUUGGUUUACCACAGAAGAUAUAAGUUUUGAUGGAAUGUACCAUAUUUGAAUGAUCAGGAACUGUACACUCAGAAUUAUGAUCAAUCAUUGGUAGUUUAAUAUACAAUCAUUUUUAUCAUUUGUGAGAUUUAUACUACGUGUGGUUUAGUGAGUAUACUAUUUUGGAGUACAAAACUAAACUGAGCCUGAUUACCACAAGUGUAUUUUGUUCAGUGUUUAUAUCAUUGUUUUGGUUCCGAUCAAAAUAUUGUGAUUCAGCUCCUGUAAAAACUUGCCAUUAAUUUAAAAAAGUUGAUAAAGAAUUGACAAUAAUGGAUCUCGCGGAGAAUAAGUACCGUGCGAAAAACUGAUUGUUUUGCUGCUUUCCUGCUGCUGUAGCUUUUUGCCAUGUUAUCGUCGGAUGUUGUUCCAGGAGCAAGAGGGAAUCAAUCCUCCUCCAAAUUGCUUGCUGGAAUGCUCUUAUUUGGUGGCCGUUUGUCCCCGGAUACGUCUUGGUAUUGCAUCUGUUAACCAGAGACGGAGACAGAGGUGCAAGUUGCCGAAAAAAGUGCUCCUUCAGGGUCCUGGCCUUCCAAACCAUCAUGGAAUUGAAAUGCAUCGUCGCCAAAAGAUCCACAUUCCAAAUCGUUUCCUGCGAUACUCCAUAAGCCAGCUUACGACCUGAACUUGAACUGCUGUGAUCGGAAGAGACGGGGGCUACUUGGAGAACCAACGAUCAGGAUGAGAAGACGUAUGAGUCCGUCCACAGAGUGUAUUAUAUGACAACGAUCAAUGGAUUCAGGAAGUCUCUAAAUUGCAGACACCAUCAACAGCGAGCAACGAACAUUCAUCCGUUCUGAUUUUGUGCUAAAUAGGAACCCAUGGAGAAACUCAUUUUUGCAAUUUCAAAAAUAAUAUGUUUAUUCUGUUAUUAUGUAUUGAACGCUCGUUAGUAAUAAAGAUUAAUUAAUGUUG